GCCCCUUUAAGAGAUAUGUUAUUUGCAGCCCAAUUCCACAAAUUAUAGGAGUCAGUGGGAUGCAGUGUCUCUCAUGGGAUUAACGCCACAAGUUAAAUGUUUCCCCCACUUACUGCACACACAUGUAAUCACAGACAUUUUGCGUUUAGAUGCGGAUUUAAUAUUUUCGGAUAAGCUUUUCAAAUUAAACAAAUAAGGUUUUAUAAACUUAAACGCUUUAGUUAGCUUGUAAAUAAAACCUAACUACAAAAAAAUAAAAAA